UCACUUUAUGUCUUUUUUAAUUUCCCUUUUAGAGUCAACGUCAAAAGAUCUGGCGUCAAAAAGUAUGACUAUUUGGUGGAUGAUGGAGUUGUGAAAAAGAAGGGAAAACCCUUCAAUCACAAAUCCUAUUUCAAAGAUGUUGUUUUAGACAACUAUGAUGUGAUUAAACCAUUCGUAGGACGAAUUGGUUCGGAAUUUCUGGAUCUCAAUCUGGCACAGCCAGAAAAUCUUGAUGCGUUCGAUGUUCCUAAUACAUGUUUGGGUGAUUCAAAUGAUACUGAUGGCUCUGAGAUCAAAAAUGAUCCAAAUGAGCGUCAGAAUUAAAUUGCCCUUACCUUGAACAUCAAUGCAGUCGAAAAAUAUUCAGACGACGUAUGAAGAAUGUGACGUAAAAAUUGUGUGUCACAUGAGCCUCUGAGGAGGUGGACUCUGUUUAAGAAGUUGAAAAACUGAUUAAAGAUUUUGACAGAAUGAUGACGACUGUGUGAUAUGAGCCCCUAUAAGGGCGGACUCUCUUUUCGAGCCCCUAUAUGGCUGGACUCUGCUUAAAAAGUUAGAAAACAGCUUAAAGAUUUUGAAAGACUGAGGACGAAUGUAUGAUAAAAGCCAUUAAAUAGGUGGACUCUACUUUUGAUCCUACAAGCUUUUCCAAUAUUUUCAGAAAAUCCUAAGGAUUUAAAAGAAUCGUGACUAUUGUGUGAUAUGAUACCCAAAAUAAGUGGACUCUGUUUUUGAGCCCUUUAGAGGGUACACUCUUUUUUCUGAGCCCCUAAGAGGUUGGACUCUAUUUAAGAAGUUGGUAGAUUGUAUAAACAAUUAUGUGAUAUAAGGCCUUAUAAAAGGUGGACUCUGUUUUUGAGCCCCUGAAAAGGUGGACUCCUCUUUUGAGCCCCUAAGAGGGUGGACUCUGUUUAAAAAGGUGGAAAAUUGUUUAAAUAAUUUAAAAGACUUGUGACAAUUGCGUGAUAUAAGCCCCUGAAAGGAUGGACUUUUAAAACGACAAUUUUUGUAAAAAAAAAUUUGCUUGUAUGUUUGAUAAGUUACAUCUUUUUUGUUAAGUGAUACUAAAAAUUACAAAAAAAAAAUAAAUAAAAAAAAAAUUA